UAAGCGACUAAGCGUACACGGUGGAUGCCUAGGCAGUCAGAGGCGAUGAAGGGCGUGCUAAUCUGCGAAAAGCGUCGGUAAGCUGAUAUGAAGCGUUAUAACCGACGAUACCCGAAUGGGGAAACCCAGUGCAAUACGUUGCACUAUCGUUAGAUGAAUACAUAGUCUAACGAGGCGAACCGGGGGAACUGAAACAUCUAAGUACCCCGAGGAAAAGAAAUCAACCGAGAUUCCCCCAGUAGCGGCGAGCGAACGGGGAGGAGCCCAGAGUCUGAAUCAGUUUGUGUGUUAGUGGAAGCGUCUGGAAAGUCGCACGGUACAGGGUGAUAGUCCCGUACACCAAAAUGCACAGGCUGUGAACUCGAUGAGUAGGGCGGGACACGUGACAUCCUGUCUGAAUAUGGGGGGACCAUCCUCCAAGGCUAAAUACUCCUGACUGACCGAUAGUGAACCAGUACCGUGAGGGAAAGGCGAAAAGAACCCCGGCGAGGGGAGUGAAAUAGAACCUGAAACCGUGUACGUACAAGCAGUGGGAGCACCUUCGUGGUGUGACUGCGUACCUUUUGUAUAAUGGGUCAGCGACUUAUAUUUUGUAGCAAGGUUAACCGAAUAGGGGAGCCGUAGGGAAACCGAGUCUUAACUGGGCGUCUAGUUGCAAGGUAUAGACCCGAAACCCGGUGAUCUAGCCAUGGGCAGGUUGAAGGUUGGGUAACACUAACUGGAGGACCGAACCGACUAAUGUUGAAAAAUUAGCGGAUGACUUGUGGCUGGGGGUGAAAGGCCAAUCAAACCGGGAGAUAGCUGGUUCUCCCCGAAAGCUAUUUAGGUAGCGCCUCGUGAACUCAUCUUCGGGGGUAGAGCACUGUUUCGGCUAGGGGGCCAUCCCGGCUUACCAAACCGAUGCAAACUCCGAAUACCGAAGAAUGUUAUCACGGGAGACACACGGCGGGUGCUAACGUCCGUCGUGAAGAGGGAAACAACCCAGACCGCCAGCUAAGGUCCCAAAGUCAUGGUUAAGUGGGAAACGAUGUGGGAAGGCACAGACAGCCAGGAUGUUGGCUUAGAAGCAGCCAUCAUUUAAAGAAAGCGUAAUAGCUCACUGGUCGAGUCGGCCUGCGCGGAAGAUGUAACGGGGCUAAACCAUGCACCGAAGCUGCGGCAGCGACGUUUAGGCGUUGUUGGGUAGGGGAGCGUUCUGUAAGCCGUUGAAGGUGACCUGUGAGGGUUGCUGGAGGUAUCAGAAGUGCGAAUGCUGACAUAAGUAACGAUAAUGCGGGUGAAAAACCCGCACGCCGGAAGACCAAGGGUUCCUGUCCAACGUUAAUCGGGGCAGGGUGAGUCGACCCCUAAGGCGAGGCUGAAAAGCGUAGUCGAUGGGAAACAGGUUAAUAUUCCUGUACUUGGUGUUACUGCGAAGGGGGGACGGAGAAGGCUAGGCUGGCCGGGCGACGGUUGUCCCGGUUUAAGCGUGUAGGGGGAGUGACCAGGUAAAUCCGGUUGCUUAUCAACCCUGAGGCGUGAUGACGAUGCACCACGGUGCAGAAGCAGUUGAUGCCAUGCUUCCAGGAAAAGCCUCUAAGCAUCAGGUAACAUUAAAUCGUACCCCAAACCGACACAGGUGGUCAGGUAGAGAAUACUCAGGCGCUUGAGAGAACUCGGGUGAAGGAACUAGGCAAAAUGGUGCCGUAACUUCGGGAGAAGGCACGCUGGCGUUAGGUGAAAGGACUAGCUCCUGGAGCUGAAGCCAGUCGCAGAUACCAGCUGGCUGCAACUGUUUAAUAAAAACACAGCACUGUGCAAACACGAAAGUGGACGUAUACAGUGUGACGCCUGCCCGGUGCUGGAAGGUUAAUUGAUGGGGUCAGCCGCAAGGCGAAGCUCUUGAUCGAAGCCCCAGUAAACGGCGGCCGUAACUAUAACGGUCCUAAGGUAGCGAAAUUCCUUGUCGGGUAAGUUCCGACCUGCACGAAUGGCGUAAUGAUGGCCAGGCUGUCUCCACCCGAGACUCAGUGAAAUUGAACUCGCUGUGAAGAUGCAGUGUACCCGCGGCAAGACGGAAAGACCCCGUGAACCUUUACUAUAGCUUGACACUGAACAUUGAGCCUUGAUGUGUAGGAUAGGUGGGAGGCCUUGAAGUGUGGACGCCAGUCUGCAUGGAGCCAACCUUGAAAUACCACCCUUUAAUGUUUGAUGUUCUAACUCGGCCCCAUGAUCUGGGGUGAGGACAGUGUCUGGUGGGUAGUUUGACUGGGGCGGUCUCCUCCCAAAGAGUAACGGAGGAGCACGAAGGUUAGCUAAUCACGGUCGGACAUCGUGAGGUUAGUGCAAAGGCAUAAGCUAGCUUGACUGCGAGAGUGACGGCUCGAGCAGGUACGAAAGUAGGUCUUAGUGAUCCGGUGGUUCUGAAUGGAAGGGCCAUCGCUCAACGGAUAAAAGGUACUCCGGGGAUAACAGGCUGAUACCGCCCAAGAGUUCAUAUCGACGGCGGUGUUUGGCACCUCGAUGUCGGCUCAUCACAUCCUGGGGCUGAAGUAGGUCCCAAGGGUAUGGCUGUUCGCCAUUUAAAGUGGUACGCGAGCUGGGUUUAGAACGUCGUGAGACAGUUCGGUCCCUAUCUGCCGUGGGCGUUGGAAGAUUGAGAGGGGCUGCUCCUAGUACGAGAGGACCGGAGUGGACGAAUCACUGGUGUUCGGGUUGUCAUGCCAAUGGCAUUGCCCGGUAGCUAAAUUCGGAAGAGAUAACCGCUGAAAGCAUCUAAGCGGGAAACUUGCCUCGAGAUGAGUCUUCCCUGGGGCUUAAAGCCCCCUGAAGGAACGUUAAAGACUAUGACGUUGAUAGGCUGGGUGUGUAAGUGCAGCGAUGUAUUGAGCUAACCAGUACUAAUGAUCCGUGAGGCUUAACCU
rnacentral:rRNA from 2 species